rnacentral:rRNA from 1 species
UCCUACGGGCGGCUGCAGUCGAGAAUCAUUCACAAUGGGCGAAAGCCUGAUGGUGUGACGCCGCGUGGAGGAUGAAGGUCUUCGGAUUGUAAACUCCUGUCAUGUGAGAGUAAAGCCGGGCCUUAACUGGGUGCCGGUUUGAGAGUAUCACAAGAGGAAGAGGCGGCUAACUCUGUGCCAGCAGCCGCGGUAAUACAGAGGCCUCAAGCGUUGUUCGGAAUCACUGGGCGUAAAGGGUGCGUAGGCGGCGCGGAAAGUCAGGGGUGAAAUCCCGGAGCUCAACUCCGGAACUGCCUUUGAUACUCCCGCGCUUGAGAACUGGAGGGGACAUCGGAAUUCACGGUGGAGCAGUGAAAUGCGUGGAUAUCGUGAGGAACACUAGUGGCGAAGGCGGAUGUCUGGACAGUAUCUGACGCUGAGGCACGAAGGCCAGGGGAGCGAACGGGAUUAGAUACCCUGGUAGUC